AGAGUUUGAUUAUGGCUCAGAACGAACGCUGGCGGCAGGCCUAACACAUGCAAGUCGAGCGCGCCCUUCGGGGUGAGCGGCGGACGGGUUAGUAACGCGUGGGAACGUACCCUUUGGUAGGGAAUAGCCACUGGAAACGGUGAGUAAUACCCUAUGAGCCCUUCGGGGGAAAGAUUUAUCGCCAAAGGAUCGGCCCGCGUUAGAUUAGGUAGUUGGUGGGGUAAUGGCCUACCAAGCCUACGAUCUAUAGCUGGUUUUAGAGGAUGAUCAGCAACACUGGGACUGAGACACGGCCCAGACUCCUACGGGAGGCAGCAGUGGGGAAUCUUGGACAAGUGGGGGCAACCCUGAUCCAGCCAUGCCGCGUGAGUGAAGAAGGCCUUAGGGUCGUAAAGCUCUUUCGCCUGUGAAGAUAAUGACGGUAGCAGGUAAAGAAACCCCGGCUAACUCCGUGCCAGCCGCCGC
rnacentral:rRNA from 1 species